GACGAACGCUGGCGGCGUGCUUAACACAUGCAGGUCGAACGGUAAGGCCCUUUCGGGGGUACACGAGUGGCGAACGGGUGAGUAACACGUGGGUGAUCUGCCCUGCACUUUGGGAUAAGCCUGGGAAACUGGGUCUAAUACCGGAUAGGACUACGCGAUGCAUGUCGUGUGGUGGAAAGCUUUUGCGGUGUGGGAUGGGCCCGCGGCCUAUCAGCUUGUUGGUGGGGUGAUGGCCUACCAAGGCGACGACGGGUAGCCGGCCUGAGAGGGUGUCCGGCCACACUGGGACUGAGAUACGGCCCAGACUCCUACGGGAGGCAGCAGUGGGGAAUAUUGCACAAUGGGCGCAAGCCUGAUGCAGCGACGCCGCGUGGGGGAUGACGGCCUUCGGGUUGUAAACCCCUUUCAGCACAGACGAAGCGUAAGUGACGGUAUGUGCAGAAGAAGCACCGGCCAACUACGUG
rnacentral:rRNA from 1 species